UGAUAUAGGAGGAGUCUGCGGCACAUUAGCUAGUAGGUGAGGUAAGAGCUCACCUAGGCGACGAUGUGUAGCCGGUCUGAGAGGAUGAACGGCCACAAUGGAACUGAGACACGGUCCAUACUCCUACGGGAGGCAGCAGUGGGGAAUAUUGCACAAUGGGGGAAAUCCUGAUGCAGCAACGCCGCGUGAGUGAAGAAGGUUUUCGGAUUGUAAAGCUCUGUUAGCAGGGAAGAGGAAGGACGGUACCUGCAGAGGAAGCCACGGCUAACUACGUGCCAGCAGCCGCGGUAAUACGUAGGUGGCAAGCGUUGUUCGGAAUAACUGGGCGUAAAGGAUGCGUAGGCGGUUGAGUAAGUUAUGUGUUAAAUAUAUAGGCUUAACCUGUAGAAAGCACAUAAAACUGUUUAACUAGAGUGCAGGAGAGGUAAGUGGAAUUCCUAGUGUAGCGGUGAAAUGCGUAGAGAUUAGGAAGAACACCAGUGGCGAAGGCGACUUACUGGACUGUAACUGACGCUGAGGCAUGAGAGCAUGGGGAGCAAACAGGAUUAGAUACCCUGGUAGUCCAUGCUGUAAACGAUGGGUACUAGGUGUGGGUUGUGAAUAACAAUCCGUGCCGUCGCAAACGCAAUAA
rnacentral:rRNA from 1 species